GCUUAGCCCUAAACUCUAAUAGUUACAUUAACAAAACCAUUUGCCAGAGUACUACAGCAGCUUAAAACUCAAAGAACUUGGCGGUGCUUUAUAUCCCUC
rnacentral:rRNA from 1 species